CCAGCCCCUAAGGCACACCUCCUGCCCUGCCCCAGCCUGUAGCCAGACUGUUGCUAGCUUGGUCCUAUUCCCUUACUUCUCUGCUCCCAUCAGAACAGGCUCGCACUCCUGAGGGGCGGGCGCACCCAGGGUGGACUCAGCCCUGGACUCUCUCUCUCUCUCCCUUUGCUCUCAAGGCUGGCAUGAGGCUGUCACCGGAGGCUUCGGAAGUGUCACUAACCCGCAAAUACAGACCAUCACGAUGCUGCCCUCUCCCGCCUGCAGGACAGACCUCCAGUUCUACCCCAGGCAGCAUGUGCACCAAUGAAGUACUUCCCACCAUCCCUUGAAACUAAGAACAGCCAACACGGGCGGGAUGCUGACGCUACCAGGAGGGUGUUGGACCGCAAAGCAGUAAGCCCAGAUCUAAACCAUCCAACCAUUAUUAUUUUUUUUUUUUUAACACAUAAUGAACAUCCACUGGUUGAAGUCUCCACCGUUUCUGAUGAAGUUACUAAUUCCCACUUGAUUUACAGAUUGGUUGAGUCUGGAGUGGUAACACACACCUUAUGCUAGCAUUCUGGAGGUAGAGCCAAAUGUAUUCUGCUUAUUAGGGGCUAGCCUGGUCUAUAUAGCAGGUGCCAUGGAAGCCAGAACUAUGUAGUGAAACCCUGUCUCAAAAAUACCCCAACA